GGCCUCUUCAGUUACGAGCCGGUCAUUACUUAAUCGAUCGGGUCUCCGUUACGAUCCUCGUGAUGGAGCGCUCACAGGUGGAAGCAGGAAGGGAUGGUCGUGAAUCCGAGCUCACCGUUGGAUUUUCUGCUCCACCGCAAGCUCUUCUCGAUGGCCUUUUUUGAGAUCAAGUUGUCGUCAUGAUGCAUUUCCUCGCUGAAGUGAUCUGAGCAUCAAAACACUUUAGCACAUUAGAUUAUACAUACUGCACCAGAGUACUGAGGGUGGCCUGAGGUGAACUCUUGGCUUAUAUUUCCUUGUCUUUGGGAACGAAGGAUUCAUGGCCUAAAAGGGUGGUGCAGAACUGGUCCUCGAGAGGCAAAAAGUAAACCAACGAGUGACUGAAUUAAAAUCGAUUACUAGUGUUGCUUCUAAGUGGACUUGCUUAUUCAAACAAAUAUCAAUUACAUUCUUUAGAC